GAUGAACGCUGACAGAAUGCUUAACACAUGCAAGUCCACUUGAACUUCGGUUUGGGUGGCGGACGGGUGAGUAACGCGUAAAGAACUUGCCUCACAGAUAGGGACAACAUUUGGAAACGAAUGCUAAUACCUGAUAUUAUGAUUAUAUGGCAUCGUAUAAUUAUGAAAGCUAUAUGCGCUGUGAGAGAGCUUUGCGUCCCAUUAGCUAGUUGGAGAGGUAACGGCUCACCAAGGCGAUGAUGGGUAGCCGGCCUGAGAGGGUGAUCGGCCACAAGGGGAAUGAGACACGGCCCUUACGCCUACGGGAGGCAGCAGUGGGGAAUAUUGGACAAUGGACCAAGAGUCUGAUCCAGCAAUUCUGUGUGCACGAUGAAGUUUUUCGGAAUGUAAAGUGCUUUCAGUUGGGAAGAAAAAAAUGACGGUACCAACAGAAGAAGUGACGGCUAAAUACGUG
rnacentral:rRNA from 1 species